rnacentral:misc_RNA from 1 species
AACAUCUGACGGCCAUUUUGUUAAAUUUAUUUCUAAACGUAUCCCCUCCAAAUUGAAAACAACCGAAGGUCGACGCUGUUCUCGGCUGCAUAAAGUAUUUUUGGUUAGGUUAAUAAUUGUGUUGAUGAAAUUUAACAUGACUUCUGGAAAUAAAUAGUAUUAUAUGUCAACAAAAUGGAUGUUACUGGUGAUUUAACUUUGCAAUGGGUGGAAGAGGUAGGGAAUGUGAUUCACGAAGAAGUUAUAUGUGGUCUGGAAGCAGAACUGGUAGCAUCCGAAGAAGAAGUAAUAGGAGCCUGUGAAGAAGUUACAGUAGAAGAAACAGGAGAAUCCGUUUCCAAUGUACCUUCAACGACAGAAUCUGAGAUUUUAAUGGUUCCUCAGACUAAUGAUAUGGAUUCUAUUUAUAUAGUACCACAAGAUCAAGGUCAUGAUUAUCUUAAUAUACAAGUCACAGAGGAAGUAAUUGCAGAUAAUUGGGAUAGAUCUGGUCCAGAUGAUGGCGUCGAAAUUCCAGAAACGAAAGUUUCUAAUGACAAUCUAUUAGAAUAUGAUGACAUGGAAAUACCAUUACCUAUAGAUCAAGAUUCCUAUACAAAUAUUCGUCCAUAUCCAUGCGAUUUUUGUAGUCGAAGAUUCAGAAAAAAAGCAAAUUUAAUGAAUCAUAUGGUUUCACAUCAAACUGAUCGUCCUCAUCAUUGCAAUUUAUGCGGAGCUCGUUAUGUACGAAAAUGUGAUCUUAUGAAUCAUUUAAAAACUCAUGCUUAUGCUCCAUCUCGGGAUGGCUUAGAUGACGAUUUAAAUGAUGACGACUCAUUAGCUCCCGAGGAAGAAGAAACUAAUAAAGGUAGACGUAAGAAAGUACAAUCCAAUGCACCAAGAAAACGUAAAAACAAUUCAACUAUUCCCAAAAGAAAUAAUGAUGAUGUAAAAGCUGAAAUGAGUAAAUAUGUUAAUAAGUCUUACGAUUAUGUGGAUGAAGAUAUGCGCUUAUUAGAAGAAAUGACUAAUCGAAAUCCAGUUCGUGGUAAUAAUUAUCCAUCAAGUUCAAGAUGGAAUGAACAAAUAUCACCAGUAUCUAAUGAGCAGCAACCUCCACGGUGGCCUAUUACAGAUCCUACAAAACCAUAUGUUUGUCAAUAUUGUGGUGUAGGGUUUGCAAGAGAAAAAGCUCUUGCAUCCCAUGCUCGAGUUCAUGGUGGAGAUAGUCCAUUUGAAUGUACUUCUUGUAGUGAAAUGUUCUGGGAUGUUAAUAGUUUAAGAGAACAUGUUCGUAUUAAACAUGGAGGUACUACACAAUUGGACAUAGAAGAUUAUGAUACCAAUGAUGCUACAUACACAGGUGAUGAGAGAUUUGGAGAAUUUUAUUGCAACACUUGUGGAGUUCCUUUUCAUCGCCUAGAUUUGCUUAAACGUCAUCAAAAGAUUCAUGUCAAACAAGAAAUGGACAUAAUGGAAAGUUCAAGUCAGCAUCAUGUGUGCAAUGUAUGUGGCGAGUGGUUUGAAGAAGCAUUAGCUCUAUUAGCGCAUGCCGAACUUCAUGCUAGAUCUCCUAGUCGUAGAUGCUUAUUAUGUGGGGAGAGAUGUCGUGAUGAUGCUGAAGUUGCAGAGCAUGUUCGUCAGAAUCAUGCAGAAGAUGCUCCACCAAAUACAUGUACGCUUUGUGGGAAAACAUGUAAAGACAAACGCAGUUUACUCAAACAUUCAUGGGUACAUAAUGUUGAUAAAACAUUUGGUUGUACAAAAUGUGGGAAACGAUUUCAUAGCAAAGCUAGAUUACGAAGGCAUAUGGUUUCACAUCGAAACAAAAUGGUUGCAUGCGAUGAAUGUGGAGAAGAAUUUCCUGAUGGUAGAGCUCUUGUGAGUCAUCGUCAUUCUCAUAAUAAAGACCUGGGUGGUCGUUCAUUUCCUUGUCGUGAAUGUGGAAAAACAUUUGGAAGUCGUAGCUCUCAACAAAUACAUAUUCGUAUUCACACAGGAGAGAGACCUUAUGGUUGCAGGUUUUGUUGGAAAGCUUUUGCAGAUGGUGGUACAUUGAGAAAACAUGAACGAAUUCAUACAGGCGAAAAACCAUAUGGAUGUGCUAUCUGUCCUCGUGCAUUUAAUCAAAGAGUAGUUCUUAGAGAACAUGUACGAGCUCAUCAUUCAGGUCCUGAUCCAAAAUGCGUUGGUAGUAUUACACCAUACUUAUGCAAAGUUUGUGGUGAUGCUUAUGCAACAUCAGAAGAAAUUGUUGCUCACAUAGUUCAACAUUGUGAUGAUAACACUGCACUAAGACGUCAACCACAGACUGGACCACGCAAAUAUAAAAGGAGGCGUAAAUUGAAGCCUCAUGAAACAACUACAAUGUUGAGAAUUAAUGAAAAUUAUGAUACACUUGAAGGUGGAUCUGAUUCAGAUGACAAUACAAAACGAAAACUUGGUAGGAAAAAUAAACAACAUAGAUCAAAUGUCGAAGAAGGUUAUCAAAAUGUUCUUAAAAGUUUUGAAAGUUCUUUACAAAAUAUAAAUUCAAUAGUAAGUAAUUCUAAAUUGAAUCCUGCAAAAUCAAAAUUAUCGAAGAAAAAAUUGAGGAAAGAAGAAAAGAAAAAUGAAGGACAAACACCAUGUCAAUCAGGUAGACCUAAAAUGAUACACACUCAAAAAACAAGAGUACCUGUUGAAAUGGGUAGUGAUGGUGUUAAAAAGGGUCAAAAAACCAAAACGAUGGUAACAAGAACUCCUAAAGUAAUGCCAAGUGAACAUAAACUGGGUAUCUUCGCUGGAGGAGAAAGGAAUAGACCAAGAACAAAAAAUGUUAGUUAUCAUAUUGAGGGAAAAUUACAGUUAACACCUGCAACAUUUCCAAAGCCAAAGGAAGAAGAUGUAAAGUUAUCAACACAAGUACAGCAGCCAAUACUAACAAAUAUAAAAAUAGAGCCUGGUGUACAAAAAUCUGUGGAUAGUAAUCAUAGUAAUAAUCAUAGUAAUAUUGUAAAAAUAAACAAUGAUAAAUUAGAUCGAACAUCUAGAAAAAAGUCUACUGUUUUUAAGAAAAUAAAGAAACAAAAGCAAAUAAAUAUAAAAGAAGAACCAAAUGAAAACGUAAAUGAAGGUGAAACACAAAAUAAUAAUAAUACAGAAAAUACUAAUUCUAUACGGUUAAUGGAGGAGCACACAGUAGAUGGGGGUAGCCUAGAAGUUGCUUUUGAAGCUAGCGUAGUUACAGCGGAAGAAGAAACCAUUCUUCCUGAUAUUGAUACAGUGACUAAUAAUGAUAAUAUUGGGAAUGGAAAUGUUCAACUUAGUGUAAAGGUGGAAUCUACAUCUCAAAGAAUCUUGGCUGUUCAUAGUGUUAUUACACCUGUGGAUGAAGUCGCAGAAACUAUAAUACCGGAUACUUUGGAAUACACAUGUGAAAUGUGUUCUAUGGUAUUCUCCAGUCGUGCUGAGCUUUUGGUGCAUGUACCAAUACAUAUUUGAUUUAAUUUGUCUAAUAUUAUGAAAGCAGGAAUAAUGAAGAAGAAAAACGUUGCUGCCAUGAGUGACCAUGUAGAUAAAUUUAGAACAAUUAUGGAAUAGUGUAUUUCCUGACAUUUUCUCAUUAUCACAAUAUUUAAGGCUGUAAAUAGAGCUGCUGUCAGUGCAAAUACAUACCCUAUAACAUCGUAUGGUUCUGCUUUAUGUAUCUGCAACACAAAAUUAUAAUAUGAAUCUUCUUAAUAUCGUACAUAAAUGUAUAUCGGAUAACUGGUGAUACAUAUUAUUUUUGGUUGUAAAAUAAAAAAUAUCUAUAUUUUAUUCAAUAUAAAUAAUUUUUUUACCUGAAAUAAUAAUGGUGGCCUGGCUACAAGUAUAACACCCGUAAAGAGCACACAGGCAACUAUUAUGCGCAACAAACCACAUGGUUCUUUUAGGAAUACAAAGGAAA